UGUAGUUGACGUUUUCAUUAGUCUUCUUCCUCUGUUUUUAGAGAGAGUUUUCUCUUUCUCCAAGAAAAAUAAAGAAAAGAGAAGAGUUCUCUUCUCUCUCUCAUCUUCUCCUCCCUUUUCCCAAAAAGUACAGAACCCACCACUCCUGCAUAUUCUCAUUCUCUAAGGAGAAUAUAUGAGAUUCUCUCGUGGUGGUGACCAUUUGUUUUGCUGGAAGUUUUUGGAGAUUGAGAUCCAGAACGAAGGGUUCGUGAUCUGGAUUGAAGGAAUUCGUGAAGACCAUUUGGCUUCAAGGUCUUUAUUCUUCAUUGGGGGCGAUGGCAAUAAUUAUAAGAGGCAAUCCUGUAAAUAACAUGAAGAGCAAGGGCAAAGAAGACAAUCCAUCAAAAACUAUCCUAACAAACAUCAACAAAAUCACAUGAUGGCUCCCUCUCUUUAUUUGACAAGUGUACAUCUACUUUAAUUUAAGAUUCGUUUAUUAUUUCUUGUGUAAAAAGGUGAAACCCUAGCUUUUGUGAAUUUUCCUCUAUAUAAAAGGAAACUUUUUCCUUCCUCGUUUAAUAAAAGAGAAAAAGACAGCACUAAAACCCUUGGGUAAUAUCGUGAUCUUUUAGAUUUUUUUCCUUUUUUUUUAAUUUUUGUUUUGGUAUCAGAGAAAUCUAUGGUCCUCGCCUUGUGAGUCACCCCGUCUACUAUGAGUCAAUCCAUGCUCUUCUUUAGCAGCCCUCAUCUUAACCAACUGAUUAACAAGGUUACCUCAAUAAAGCUGGAAUGGGGUAAUUGUCUACUGUGGAGGAACUUCGCUUUACCUAUCCUAAGAAGCUGUCGAUUGAAAUCAUGUCUCAUUGGUGAGAAUGUUUGUCCACCAAAGUGCCUCGAUUCCUCCUCCAAUCCCAUACGUAGUUGUUUCACAACCUGCAAUAGGAGUCAUCUCCGAAGGAUCGUCAUCUACUACAGCACCAGAAAUACCCUAAAUUGGCACAUCCCUUGCAUCAAGCUCCACCUCCUCUCAAAAGCAAUACAAGAGUUGUUUGGUGUACAGUCCAGGGCCGAAGAAGAUUUUUUUUCGUUAAGUGUUUCGACAAACCCAUAAAGGAUCUCUCAACAUGUCGGAAUAUUUGAGAAUAAUGAAGAUGCACACGUAACCUUGAGCAAACAACGAGUCUUGUCCCUACAAGAGCCUUAAUAUCCCAAAUCCUUUUGAGAUUAGAUGAAGAAUAUAAUCCAAGGCAGGCCUAGUAUCUCAUGGUCUGAUGUGCACAAUGAGCUCCGUGUGUUUGAGAAAAGGUUAGACUAUCAAACCUCUCAGAAGAACUCAAUUUCUUUUAACAACUCUCCUUUUGUGAAUGUAGCAAGUAGUACCAUUUAGAAGAACUCCAAUGGAAAUAGGCAACGUGGAAACAAUGGUCAAAGUAGCAGACAACAACUUAAUAACUAUCACAAAAAUCAAAGAGGAGGAGGUGGACGAAACCAUGGCAGAAACCGACCGAUUUAUCAAGUUUGUGGCAGGUAUGGACACUCUGCUGAUGUUUGCUAUCACCGUUAUGAUAAGGAGUUUUGUAAGUCCAGCAAAUGAAGCCAAAGGAGGUACUUCAAUGCAACAAGUUGCUAAAAACCAGAACACUCCUCCCUUUGCUUUUGCUGCUCAGAACACCCUGUUUUCUUUUCCUCCAACUCAUAACACUGCUACAAAUCCUUAAACCACCAUUGAUCCAAAUUGGUAUAUGGAUAGUGGAGCGACCAGUCAUGUGACUGAAGACUAUAACAACAUGGCUCAGACGUCUGACUAUGGAGAUGCAAAUAGUUGUUAGAAAUGGUAAUGCAUUAAAUAUAUCCCACAUUGGUAAAGCAUGUUUAAAAAUUGAUAAUGGCUCCCUUACUCCUGAAAAUAUUCUAUGUGUUCCUGAAAUAGCAAAUACUUUAGUAAGUGUAUCCAAAUUAGCUAAAAAUAAUGAUGUUUUUGUUAAGUUCCAUGCUAA